UCCAGGGUAGCCCAGUGGACAAGGCACCUGCCCGGUAAGCAGAAGGGUGUGGGUUCGAUUCCCGCCCCUGGAC
rnacentral:tRNA from 1 species